AAUAGAUACCCGGGUAGUCCACGCCGUAAACGAUGAGUGCUAAGUGUUGGGGGGUUUCCGCUCCUCAGUGCUGCAGCUAACGCAUUAAGCACUCCGCCUGGGGAGUACGGUCGCAAGACUGAAACUCAAAGGAAUUGACGGGGGCCCGCACAAGCGGUGGAGCAUGUGGUUUAAUUCGAAGCAACGCGAAGAACCUUACCAGGUCUUGACAUCCCGGUGACCACUAUGGAGACAUAGUUUCCCCCUUCGGGGGUCGAACGGUGACAGGUGGUGCAUGGUUGUCGUCAGCUCGUGUCGUGAGAUGUUGGGUUAAGUCCCGCAACGAGCGCAACCCUUAUUCUUAGUUGCCAUCAUUCAGUUGGGCACUCUAAGGAGACUGCCGGUGAUAAACCGGAGGAAGGUGGGGAUGACGUCAAAUCAUCAUGCCCCUUAUGACCUGGGCUACACACGUGCUACAAUGGACGGUACAAACGGUUGCCAACCCGCGAAGGGGAGCUAAUCCGAUAAAACCGUUCUCAGUUCGGAUUGUAGGCUGCAACUCGCCUAC
rnacentral:rRNA from 1 species